rnacentral:rRNA from 1 species
AGUCGAGCGGCAGCACGGGUACUUGUACCUGGUGGCGAGCGGCGGACGGGUGAGUAAUGCCUAGGAAUCUGCCUGGUAGUGGGGGAUAACGCUCGGAAACGGACGCUAAUACCGCAUACGUCCUACGGGAGAAAGCAGGGGACCUUCGGGCCUUGCGCUAUCAGAUGAGCCUAGGUCGGAUUAGCUAGUUGGUGAGGUAAUGGCUCACCAAGGCGACGAUCCGUAACUGGUCUGAGAGGAUGAUCAGUCACACUGGAACUGAGACACGGUCCAGACUCCUACGGGAGGCAGCAGUGGGGAAUAUUGGACAAUGGGCGAAAGCCUGAUCCAGCCAUGCCGCGUGUGUGAAGAAGGUCUUCGGAUUGUAAAGCACUUUAAGUUGGGAGGAAGGGCAUUUACCUAAUACGUAAGUGUUUUGACGUUACCGACAGAAUAAGCACCGGCUAACUCUGUGCCAGCAGCCGCGGUAAUACAGAGGGUGCAAGCGUUAAUCGGAAUUACUGGGCGUAAAGCGCGCGUAGGUGGUUCGUUAAGUUGGAUGUGAAAUCCCCGGGCUCAACCUGGGAACUGCAUUCAAAACUGACGAGCUAGAGUAUGGUAGAGGGUGGUGGAAUUUCCUGUGUAGCGGUGAAAUGCGUAGAUAUAGGAAGGAACACCAGUGGCGAAGGCGACCACCUGGACUGAUACUGACACUGAGGUGCGAAAGCGUGG